rnacentral:rRNA from 1 species
GACGAACGCUGGCGGCGUGCUUAACACAUGCAAGUCGAACGGAAAGGCCCUGCUUUUGUGGGGUGCUCGAGUGGCGAAAGGGUGAGUAACACGUGAGUAACCUGCCCUUGACUUUGGGAUAACUUCAGGAAACUGGGGCUAAUACCGGAUAGGAGCUCCUGCUGCAUGGUGGGGUUGGAAAGUUUCGGCGGUUGGGGAUGGACUCGCGGCUUAUCAGUUUGUUGGUGGGGUAGUGGCUUACCAAGGCUUUGACGGGUAGCCGGCCUGAGAGGGUGACCGGCCACAUUGGGACUGAGAUGCGGCCCGUACUCCUACGGGAGGCAGCGGUGGGGAAUAUUGCACAAUGGGCGGAAACCUGAUGCAGCAACGCCGCGUGCGGGAUUACGGCCUUCGGGUUGUAAACCGCUUUCGCCUAUGACGAAGCGUGAGUGACGGUAAUGGGUAAAGAAGCACCGGCUAACUACGUG